UGUGCUUUUAGCUGACGUGUGUCGCCUCACUGUUUUGAGCGAUGCUCGUUCAUGUCUAUCGAGCACAAGCGCGGGCAACAGGACGCUGACUUUCGUUGAAUUAACGGCCACAGCUGUCAACAAGCAAAUUUCUGAUUCUUACAAACAGUCCCUUUAAAACUUGUUCUUGCUUUCGAAAGUUAAGAAAAUAGCUCACAAAACAUUCAAAUAAGUAGCUUUCCCCGAGCAUUUGAUAUGGAUAUUCAAGGGAUGAGCAAACUAAACAGCCAGUAGCCAACACCACACUUCCAUCAGCCGUUAUAACCGCUCAUUCAUCGACUGAUGGUUAAUGUUCACGUGGAGUUCAGUGAGAAAAUUCACCCAGAAAAUAAACGGUGAUGAAUGUGUCCGUCGUCGUCACUGAGAGGCAUGAUGACAGCUGGGUGGUGGCUGCCGGCUGCUCAUCAAAGAAGCAGUAACCUUUUAUUGGCCCGGAUGAGACGGAGCGGUACGGACAGCCUCGUACAGUAUUUCCUGCCACACAGAUGGUAGUUUAAUGCCUUGCUUGAGGGCACUUUGACAGUAGUGGUUGAGUCAUCUGCUCAGACGCCAAAAAAGAAAAACUAAUUCUCUGGAGGUUUUCAUAUAUUUUUCUCUCAUCGCAGUAUGUUAAUAAGAGAUUGUAUACAUGUUAUUACGGGGUUACUUAUUUGUUAGAUUUUGUCAUACAUAAUUUACAUUUAAACUACUGUACGUAUUAGAAAUAGGAGCCACAAGAGGGCUUUUGUUUUAUAGAUAGAAUUAUAUAUUCACAAUAUAUUGCUAUGAUCGAAUAACUUAAUUUUAUUUUUUUGACGUGGUUGCAUAGUGCCUAUAUGGGUUGUGUACCUGCCGAUUGGUCUGAGUCGACCAAUCAGACGACGGGAGAGAUGAACGAGGCCACUAAACAAGAGGAUGGCUCUUUAUCAAGCUGACAGACACACAUGGGUAAACAAGGACCAGUUCUAAUGUCGGGUGGAGUUGUUUUAAUCAGAACAGGACUGUGAUGUUACUGUACAUUCCAAACAAACAACAAACUAUAUGUUAUUGAAACGUCUGUCAGAAUAGAAGUUAUUUUGAAAGAAUGCGUUUUUUUGUUUUUGUUUUUGACGGGUGUUAAAUGUCAUAAAGGUCGGCUAAAGGUCCAGGUUCAGUUUCAUGUCGCAGGGAGUUCGAUCCCUGCGUUCAAAGUAACAGUACAGGUAAAGGAGACACUGAUCGGCCCGACUCCUAACUCAAAUCCAUACUUUCUUCCAGGGUCUAUAAUUUAAAAAGGUACAACAUGGCAUUAAGUAAGAAUUCAUAAGUCAAAGUCUGACUUCUUCUCCGAUGUGCUUAAAGAGGCAAGUGAGGUGCUGAAGUUGGAUUUUAUCUUCGCGCAAACAGGUUACAUAAAUCUAGAAUACUGUGGUGCAAGUUUCAGAGUUUAUAUUUUAUACAGAGGUUUAUUUCAGCAAUCUGUGCGAUAAAACUUACACAACGUAUUACAUUUGUCAGUUUUAUCUUUCAGGAAAGACUAUUACAGGUUUAGUUGAAAAAGCAAAAGACAAAUAUACAAGCAUUUAUACUGUUAUAAUCAAACCAAUGCAAAUCUCUCUGAUUUUAUUUAAAAAGCGACCUCUCUGUUGAAUUAUCUCCUGCGUACAUUUCAGGCCAGUGAAAUUAUGUUGAUGGCAAAUUCUCAUCCUCCUCAGUGACUAUUUGACUGUAGUUUAUUAGGAAGGGGUGUGUUGAACCUUUCUAGGCGAUGGUGAUGAAUGUAUUUGUGUGUUUUCUAUGGUAUGUCUAUACCCGUCAAGUGCUUGUUAUAGGUUGUACUUGAGGUGGAACUCGACCCGAUUCGUUUCAAAACAAACAAAAAAAAAGGAGGAAAUAGAGACAUCAACAUUGAGGAACAUCAUUUAUUUUGGGAGAGGUAGUCUUCUUUUUUCUGAUUAGUAGUCAAGUCCAAGUUCAGUUUGAUGUAUUUUUUGGAGAAAUUACGUUUGUACAUGUAUACUCUGCGUUGACACCUAAUAUGUAACAUGAAUAAUAAAAAGAAAAAAGUUUCACCUCA